UCUGUUAAAGGUGGUGUAGUCAGGAUCUGAGUUAGUUCCAGUUUUUAGGAGAAAUCUUGAAUGUAAACUCUACCCCUCCCAACCAGUUUUCCCCUCAGCUCCUCCUCUCCCCUCCCUCUCUUAAGCCCCGCCCACAAACAGACGCUCCUGCUCGCUCGUAUCGUUCCAAUUAAAUUCAGAUAUAAUGCAGAUAAAUACUUCAGAUCAUUACAAAUGGGGCCCAGUCAAGGUGAAAGUCAAAAGCAUUGGUGCUACUGUAGAUGCCAACAGACUACCAGCAAACACAAUGUUUGCAGGACUUCUACAACGAGGAUAAAGUGACAUAGUCCAGGACCCGAGGGAGGACAGUUUAGCGAUGGCGCUACAACACGCUACAGCAGGUCCGUUUGACAAGAAACACUUCUGUUACAGACACUUGUCUUACUUUGUUAAAGCGGUUUACCUGUCCAGCAGAAAGGUUACAGGGUCACCAAGAUCCCCAAGCGUCCCCCAUCGUUUAUGUUGACCCGGCUCUUUAGCUCUUGUCCGGUCUACCUCCGUUUUAAGCGCCCGUUAUUCCUCCAGAGUCUCCGGUAUUUACUUUGUUUUCUUGCUUGUGUUUUCCGUACUCUCUGGUUGGUUUCUAAGUUCAGUACUGCCGUCUAAGGAGAUGCUGAUUUCACUGAAUGCUGCUAUUAGAGGUACCUGGACUUCGGUGUUUUAACUCCAGGUGAUCUGAACCAGAGUCUGAUUCAAAGCGAACCAAGGCCCCUCUUUUGAAGCAGCCUCUGUACGAUGUUGUGGUCCACAUCGUAUCAAAGUUUCAGAGGACGACUUCUAAUAUUCCAGAGUUCAACGUCUGAAAAUCCCAACACUGACACGACAUUUAGGCCAAGCUGUCCUUCUUUACUGUAACUCUCACACAGAGCUGUGUCUAUGUUAUUCAAAAUGAUUAGAGCCUCAAGAAGAGAAACAUUUAAUUACAGGAGGGAGAUUUUUUAAUUUCCAUUUCAAGAUUUAAGUCGAAAUUUUAAAAAGUCGAAAUUUCGACUUUAUUCAUGUUGACUUUAAACUUGAAAUUUCAGUGUUUAAUGUCUAAGUUUUUAAUUUUAAUCUCCUUCCUGUAAUUAUGUUUUUUUCUCUUCUUGUGGCCCUAAUCUUCUUUGGUCCUGUCGUCUGUUGUCUGACGUUUUGCAUCAUAUUUUAAAUGAGGAAUCUUCUUGAAUCUGCUUCCUGACACUUCAUAAAAAGCAGUUUUUGCACAAAUGUACAUCAAACUGACCAAAUCUUUGGAUUUUCGGGGUGUGCAUGAUCAAAUUAAAGGAGAGUAUUGUCUGUUUGAACCAGCUGUUGUGUUUCCUUUUUUCUCCUAGAGUCUGAUCUUUCUGAACUCGAGGAUAACCGGGACACCUGCUGUCAAGAGGACCUGAAACAUGAAACAGAGACCUGCACAGAUCCUCGUCUGUACACCUCAGCAGAGAUGCAGCACGUCUGAACUUUAAAAACACACAGGCAGCCAGGCUGACAAGUGUUUGCAAACCUCAUGUCCUCCCACUCGCUGAGCAUCAGAAACACUCUGAAGGUUGUGUUUACAGUAUUGAAUUAGCGCCUGUGGUCUCGUUAAUGUGCGGCAUCGAGAGCCGAGCAGCAGGCAGGGCUUUGAUUGGAGCCGCUGCUGCUCUCGUAUAAUUCCUCGGCAAACAACGCUAUCAGGAACACCAAUGACCAGGCUGGGAUUAGUGCUGACAGAACCAUAAUUGGAUUUCCUGUACAGUUAAUUGAAUGAAGCUAAAUCUGUUCCUGCUGCAGUUUGUGUUUCAGCGUGGAGACAAAACUCUGAGGAUCCUCACAAACAUUUCUACCUGGAUGGAAGGAAAUAUUCUGAACACACCGCUUUGCUCCAAAAUAAAAAAUAUCCCACCUGAAUAUUUGGAUGAGUUUUCAUGUCGGGUGCAGAAAUAGGCCUCAGCAACGAUUUGGGCCCAGAGUUACAGGAGUUGAUGGUGCUGUAAGUGCAUUAUUUCUCUGUUUGCAUUUGAUAGGUUAUAAUGCAGGCACUAAUUUAUUUAAGGAACAUUUAUGACUUCACUCUUAAUGACAUAAAAAUGACCGAUUGCAACUACUAAGGUCGACUGUGCAGGAAGGAGCUUAAAAGUCGAACUAGGGCUGCACGAAUUUAGCCAAAAAUAAAAUCACGAUUUUUUUCUCUGAAGACUCGAUUUUCGAUUUUUUAUUCAGUGACAACUUCACCAAACUUCAAUUUAAUAAAAAGUUUUUCUAUCAUCUCUCAAAACAAAACCACUGAAAACAAUGUAGUUCAUAUGCCAAACCAGUAAGUGGCGCUGUAAUGCUGCACAAGAAAUGCACAAAAGACAGAAGAAGAGUACAGAGCAUGUGUUUAAAGGUUGUUUUGGCGCCAUAAAAGAGUUACGCUGUGUGUCACAUGAUCGUUUCCAGAGAUGCAGAUAGACAUCCACACGGAGAUGAAAUGGUCGUCGUUUACAGAUUUAUUCACUCUCUGACCCGUUUUUAAAAAGUACCGUUUACAGUCACCUGAAACGCCGAUAUGACAAAAAACUUCAGCGUUUCCUCCUGAAUUUGUUUCCGUGGUGACGGGUUGAUACCUCCUUCAGCCCGACUUUGCAGCGGAGAGUGGUUUGCUCUUCAUCUGAAACUGUGAAGUCGUACCAAUUCAACACAACUGACUUGCUCUUGUCCUUUUUAACCACGAAAUUAUCGACUUUUGCAAACGCUGUGUUUGUUUACACUGGCGUGUGGGAACUGGAGAGUACUCUUACAGGGAGGGGGAGCCUAUGGUGGCCUGGAAGCACGAGACAUGAUAGAGGUAAAAAUCGAUUCAAUGGUUUUUGUUAUUUAACAUCAUCAUAAUCAAAUAGAAUGAUUAUGAUCUAAAAUCGAUCAAUCGUGCAGCCCUAGAACUAAAACAUCUGAGACUUUGGAGUGUGUUGUUGGUUUUCAACACACUUCCAAAAACUCCCUCUCAUUACAGUUUGAGCGGGACAGAUCGGACUGAAGGAGAGCCAGCGAACACAGAUACAGAAGUGCAAAAACACCACAACAAAUACGGCGAGCCCUCCAGAAGAACCCUCGUCAAGUACACCAAACACACCAUCUAAAGUCAGACCCUGAGUCUCUGAAUGUGAGAGCUUUACCUGACCUCCUGCCUUACUUGAUUAUGUGGUUGUUGAAGCGGCGUUCGCUAAAGUUGUCGGCAGGAAGAGACAAAUUAUCGCCUGCUGUGCGGGGACAGAAGACAGAUAUUAAACAGCUCAUCCUGACCGGUCUGGCUCUAACCUUUGACAUCCGGACUCUGCCAAACCUCGAGAAAACACUGAAGUUACCAGACUGCUUUUCUCUCUUCUUCUUCUUCUUCUUCUUCUUCUUCUCCUAGUUUGUUGGCAGAGACUGCAGCUUCACACCUGAAGUUUAAUUUGAUUGUAUUUCUAAUGAUUGCACAUGCUUCGUCUUACUCCUGACAGAUUCCGGCAUUAGUUUUCAAUUUCAGAGAAUCCACAGCAAUCAUUCGUCUUGUUCCCGUCUGCAUCAAUCACGGCUGAAAAGAGUAAACAUGUGCGAGCGUUGCCAAUCAUUUGAGAAUAUCAGUGUUCUCAAACGGCGAUCAGUCUUUCUGAGACAAAAGAGCGUCAUCAGAAUCAGAUUCUUCAGGUGUCUGAUGUGAUUAGAGCUGGCAGCUGAAAAAUGAGAAAUGCUCUGGGUUUGAUUCACUGUAACACAUUAGAGAACCACCCAGCUGCUAAUCUGCUCGGCUGCUCCUUCAAGAGAGGAGGAGGAGGAGGAGGAGGAGGAGGAGUGCGAUGCUUGAUUAGUCUGAGCCGCCUAAUUACCCACGCUGCACUGCAGGCUCAUCAGCGCUGCAGCCUCGCCUCGUUUGGUGUUUCAGUGUCAACUCGUGGAGAUCAAACUGCAGAAAACACAAAGCAGCGUUAAAGAGCCAUUAAAGGUCCAGAAGAGCUUAAUGAGAACAAUUUGCACACUAAAGUUAAAUUAGAUGUUUUCUUCUUCGAAAUUCAUCUUCUCAUUACGUUCAGAUUCAUCAGAUCACGGCGCAGCGGUUUUUUUAAACACCACAAAGUUAACUUUCAGUCCAACAGCUCGUUGUUCUUCAGUUAAAACUCAGAGUAUGAUUCACCAGCUGCAAAACGACGAUAUGAGCUGUGAGAUCUGAGAGUUUACACUCGCCACAGACAGAGUCAAACAGUAUUUGAGGAUCUUUGUCAUCUAGGUGGUGAUCUGAGUGGGCGGAGAUGCAGUGAUGAUGAGGCAUGUGCUGACUGGCUGCCUGCAUGUUGUCCAGAAAGGAGGGUGCUGACCAGGGAUUUUAUUUUUGGACAAAAUCGUGCAGCCCUAAUUCGUACAUGUACUGAAUGAAGACGGUGCUGCACUCAUAAACUGUAUAUAAAAUGGACGCCGUCUGCCUCCUCGCUCGGUGAAGCCACCGCGAGAACAGCACCCUCUGGUGACGGGCUGCAGUAUAGGUCAUAAAUCCCACCUCCUUAUGGAGCUGUGGACAAACUGUAUAAAUUAAUGACACAGAAUAUAAAUGUUUCUCCCCCCUGGUUGUGAUGUUGACAUGUAGUUACUGUCAGACUGGUUUGUGCUCAAGUCCUCUUUUUUCAGUACAGCUCCAUUUUUAAAAGUUUUUAGGGGGUUCAUGUUUUCUAUUACUGACAAAGCUAAUGGAGAUCUAAAUAAACGAAACGAAGCAAACCAAGGUCUGUUUUUAACUUUCCAUAGACCCAGAGUGGAUCAUGAGCAGUGGCGGCUGCUGGUCUUUCAAGGAGGGGAAGCUCAUUUUUCUGGCCUACAUCAUAAUUGUAUUUGUUUAUUAGUAUGUAACAGAACAGAGUCGCCAAACACAACGGCAGUCGUUUUUAACAAAGACAAAAGUCGCUGAGGAUCGGUAAAGUCUCUGGAGCAGUUAAGAACAACGGAAUGAAUGACUUGGAAAAUGCUCUGGUAGAUGUUUUAUUCUUCAAGAUCGCUGAUUCGCUUGUUUAGCUGUCAAUCAAACAAGGAUUUCGCCUCAGACAGCUCAUCCAAUCAUGGAUGCAGAAGCUUGGAGUCCGGGAGAAAGUCGGGACCGCCCUCUCGCCAUAGAACUCCAGUGAAGCUGACCUUCCGAUGGGCGGGACAAAGCCCAGCAUUUAUCCAAUGAGCGUCUAGUUUCGCUGCUGGAACAACCCACUUUGAGCUUUCACAUUGAAGUCAGCAGAAGCCCAGCGUCCGGCUGUUUAAAGUGCUGAGGCGCUGCGGGGAUGAAUGAGAACGAAGUUAUGCAGAAUCAGCUUCUUAUCACACUGUGAUAAGAAGCUGAUUCUGAACAAAAGUUGAAGGCUUUCUUGCGCGUAUUUAGUUAAUGAAAUGUACACACAGCGGUAUGUAUUUCACUACUUUUUCUUUUUUUGGGGGGGUGACAUUUUAAGGGAAGCUGGGCUUCCCUUGCAGUCUUAGAGCAAUCGCCACUGAUCAUGAGAUCAUCUUUUUACUCUGUCAGGUACAGGACGUCGACAUUAUACGACAAACCUCUCUGUGCAGAUCAAAUCUAAGCUUCUCCCUUCAGUCCAGACUGCGGUGAAGAUCAUGCGAACUGAAAACCAGACCCAUGACAUACCUUCCACUCUGAGCAUGAGCUCCUACCUGCUGGCAGGUGAUGUAGGCUCCUCCACAUCUAGACUCUGGCUGUGCAGAACGAUGGUAAAACAAGCUUGACAGAUUUAUAAAAACCUACAGAGACUCAAAAGGACUUUCACAAGUCAGUUAAUUUAACUAAAUCCCCAUGAUAUCAUUUCCUUUAUAUUUGGUCUAACUGCUUUUUAAAUAUGAGAAUGAUGCUGUUAAUAAAGGAGCCUGUCACCCUCUUCAUCACAUCAUGGUUUGAACAGUUUUUGGACUAUAAUGGAGCUCUACAGCGCAGAGGAUGGAGAUGUACAUUGAGCUGUGACUCACACUGAAUACUUGAAAGCAGAUACGCCCACUGUCGGUUCAGCUCUGCACACAGGAAUUUCUGACAGUAUGAAAAAUAUACAGAUAAGAUGAUGUGCAGGUUUUCAGCGGCGGCUCAGGCUCCUUUAAAGUGUUCCUCCCUCAGGAUGAAAGCACAGAGCUGUAUUAUCCCCCUGUGGAGGCUGGCGGGGCUCUGACAGGAUUUUCUCCAAUAGCCCAGCGUGAGAAAAAAGCUCUUCAGAGUCACGGUCGAUUCAUCAGGGUACCAGGAAAGCCGGGGAAGCAUCACCUCUGCUUGGAAGCCAAAAGUCCCUCCACAGUGAUGGUGUGGAGGGAAAUGGGAUGGAAAUUUAGGAGGAGAGGGAAACUGUGAUAGGUCACUCAGUCGGGGGAGUUCACCACAGGCGAAAGAAGCCGUGAAUAAUCUGACUGUAUGUCAGAGCAGAAUUACUGAGCACAAACUGGGUUUUCUGAAUAAAGUGACAUUUGACUGUUUGGAUCGAUGUAGUCAAUUCAAUCAGAAAUGUCGUUUCGUCAUUCUGGUCCACGGUUCUACGAACAACCAGACAAAGUUGAAUUUAUGGUUUGAGGAGCACCUGAAACAAAGAGGAAGUGUUCCUGUGACCCUCGUUACUAUUUCCACCGUCUGCUUUACAACCAUGAAAACCCUAAACCUGAAGAAAGCUCCAUGUCUGCAGGAUGACCCUGGUCCUGCUGCUCAAACCCAGGCAUGGUGAUGUGGGACAAUGAGGCUUAGACUCUCUCUAUCUGCUUUCAACUACAUUGGAUCGUGUUCAACCUCUUUUAAAGACCCACUCCGAUGAAAAUCAUGUUUUUCUUGUUGUCUAAAUGUUCAUGUUUGUUUUUCUGAUGCUACAGGACAUAUCAGGAGAAAAACAAGUGCAAAAUUGUAUUUCUGCAUUGAACCUCUCAGACCCAGCAGGUUCAGAAACAGUGAGAUUUCUUAUGUCACAAAUCCAAGCUCCGCCCCCAGAGUCCCGCUAUGCAGGCCAGACUCUGAGAAGAAGAGAGGAUAAUCGCGGAACAAGCAUACGUUAGCAGACUGCAAUGCUUGUAAGAAAGCUGAUUAUGAUAUUAACUUUCAUCAUGUCCUCAAAGACAUUAGUGUCCGAGAGCUGAAUAGUUCCUGUUACCUGCUACCUCUACUACACCGGCAAUGUUAGGCUGCAAGCAAGCAUGAAGAGGAGUGUGCAGAGCAGCGCUGACUCCGCCCACGACUCAGAGGCGAAUUGCUAAUGAGCUACAGGAGCUCUGCAGAAGAAAAGUCCUUAAAAAUGACACAGGUAAGUGAUUUUGGCGAAAAACUUCAUGACAGUUUAAAGACAACUGAGAACACUUAAAGUUGGUAAAAAACAAACAAACAAACAAACAAACAAACAAACAAAUGACUGGAGUGGGAUUUUAACGAAACGUGACCAAUCUAACAAACUAGCUAAAUAUGCUAACAAAGUAGCUAAAUAUGCUAACAAACUAGCUAAAUAUGCUAAGAAAGUAGCUAAAUAUGCUAACAAACUAGCUAAAUAUGCUAACAAAGGCGCUAAAUAUGCUAAGAAAGUAGCUAAAUAUGCUAACAAACUAGCUAAAUAUGCUAACAAAGUAGCUAAAUUUGCUAUAUAUAUGCUAUAUGAAGCCAUUUCUUUACAUCGCCCUCCCACCACUUGAUAGAGGAGGGCAGCAGAACAAUAACAUUGUCUCAUUUUCGAUGAGACUGAAAAAUCUUCUUUUUUAUCAUCAGUUAUCAUUGUUUUCAUCCUUGAUCCUCUAAUAAUUAUGAUUUGCAUACAGCUGCUAUGAAAAAACGCUGGCUCCACGUCCAGAAACAGAAGACGUGUCCAAAAUCCAUACAAGACAUCAGGGCGGCUGGGAUUUUGCAGCGCUGACUCACACAGCAGGUCUGUAUGUCUUUCCAGGAUUGAGGAGACAUGAGUUGAGGAUUUGGGUGUUUCACAGCAUUAGAAAGUUCCCUCUGAACAGCGUGGCUUCAACUCUGUGACAGCGGUCCCUGAACAAACCCUGGAGGAUACCAGUG